rnacentral:lncRNA from 10 species
CUUUUACAUGCCGUAAAUCCCCACUUAUCUGCAGGGAAUGUGUUCCAAGACCCCCAGUGGAUGCCUGAAACUGAGAAUAGUACUGGACCCUGUAUAUACUGUGUUUUUUCUUUCCUUAUUGAGAACUUUUAUGUUUUCACUUAAAGGAAGGACUUUACAGCUUCUCUUUCGCAUAUCCAAAUUGCCAGCAUCACCGCUCUUGCACUCCAAGCCAUUAUUAAGUAAAGUAAAGAACACAAACACUGUGAUACUGCUACACUUGAUCUGAUAACCAAGAAGUCUACUAAGUGACUAACAGAGAAGACAUGGAGAAGAGGAGGGAGUAGUUGUGACCGUGGAGGCAGAGAAUGGAGUAAUGUGAUCAUAAAUCAAGGAAUGCUGACAGCCACUAAAGCUGGAGAAGGCCAAGGACAGAUAUUCAAUCCUCCCGUAGAAGUACAGCCCUGCUAAUGCAUUGAUUUUGGACUUCUGGCCUCAGAACUGUAAGAGAAUAAAUUUCUAUUGUUUUAAGCCUUCAGUUUGUGGUAGUUUGUUACAGAAACCCUGUAAAGUUAAUACACAGAGUUCAAAGAGAAUCCGG